rnacentral:rRNA from 1 species
GUGGGGAAUAUUGGACAAUGGGCGCAAGCCUGAUCCAGCAAUGCCGCGUGCAGGAAGAAGGCCUUCGGGUUGUAAACUGCUUUUGUACGGAACGAAACGGUCCUGGCUAAUACCCGGGGCUAAUGACGGUACCGUAAGAAUAAGCACCGGCUAACUACGUGCCAGCAGCCGCGGUAAUACGUAGGGUGCGAGCGUUAAUCGGAAUUACUGGGCGUAAAGCGUGCGCAGGCGGUGCUGUAAGACAGGCGUGAAAUCCCCGGGCUCAACCUGGGAAUUGCGCUUGUGACUGCAGUGCUGGAGUGCGGCAGAGGGGGAUGGAAUUCCGCGUGUAGCAGUGAAAUGCGUAGAUAUGCGGAGGAACACCGAUGGCGAAGGCAAUCCCCUGGGCCUGCACUGACGCUCAUGCACGAAAGCGUGGGGAGCAAACAGGAUUAGAUACCCCGGUAGUCC